AAUAGAUACCCAGGUAGUCCACGCCGUAAACGAUGAGUGCUAAGUGUUAGGGGGUUUCCGCCCCUUAGUGCUGCAGCUAACGCAUUAAGCACUCCGCCUGGGGAGUACGGUCGCAAGACUGAAACUCAAAGGAAUUGACGGGGGCCCGCACAAGCGGUGGAGCAUGUGGUUUAAUUCGAAGCAACGCGAAGAACCUUACCAGGUCUUGACAUCCCGUUGACCACUGUAGAGAUAUAGUUUCCCCUUCGGGGGCAACGGUGACAGGUGGUGCAUGGUUGUCGUCAGCUCGUGUCGUGAGAUGUUGGGUUAAGUCCCGCAACGAGCGCAACCCUUGAUCUUAGUUGCCAUCAUUUAGUUGGGCACUCUAAGGUGACUGCCGGUGACAAACCGGAGGAAGGUGGGGAUGACGUCAAAUCAUCAUGCCCCUUAUGACCUGGGCUACACACGUGCUACAAUGGACGAUACAAACGGUUGCCAACUCGCGAGAGGGAGCUAAUCCGAUAAAGUCGUUCUCAGUUCGGAUUGUAGG
rnacentral:rRNA from 1 species